UCCCUGAUGGUCCAGUAGUUAGGACUCUACUUUUUCACUGUGGUGGCCCAGGUUCAGUCCCUGGUCAGAGAA
rnacentral:tRNA from 1 species